rnacentral:lncRNA from 1 species
UGAUAUUGAAAAAUAUAACUUCAAAUUUGAAUUGGAUGAAGUUUGGAUUGGUUAAUGGAUAUGGAUACUUGUUAAGUGGUUACCUACAUGGAUUUGGACAUUUAAUUGUUAGAAAGGGUGAAUUGGUUAAAAUAAUUUAAAAUUAAUCUAGAAAUUGAAAUAAUCAAUUUAAAGAUCAAAAUCCAAUUAAAAUGAAAAUCAAUUUGAAAAAACCAUAUCCAAUUUUGGGAAUUCUAUAAAUAACACUUCACUUACCGCUCUUUGGGGAUUUUUUUCUUCGGUCUUCAAUCUCUUCUUCAACAUUUAUUAUUCUUCAUCCUUCACUCUUCUACCAUUUUGUUUCAGCUUCAUUCUCCAAACAGAACCUCCUUUCUGUAUGCUUCAAUCUUCACUCUCAACUUUUCUUCAGGCUCUGAUUGCUAACAUCUCUCAAGUCCUCCAAGUUGCACUCUCGAGCUUUCUCCCCCUCUCACGCACCCGUACGCGUCAGCUCAAACGGUCCAUCAAAAUUCCACAAAUUCAGCAAAAAUAAAGAAGGUGGAAGAUGGGGAUACAAAUAGAAGAGGAUAAUUGAAGAAAGUGGAGAGUGAAUUACCGGCGAAGCCGAAACCAUUUCCGUAGGUAUGUCGCGUUGAUUUAUUAGAAUUCUUCAUGCUUUUUCCUUCAAUUCAUAUUUUCGAGCUCGAACCAAAAGCGAAGCACCGAAUUCGAACCGUGUUGAAUCGAAAUACGAAGGGAUCAAUUGAAGACGUGGAAUUACGUUUGCAAAAACGGUUGUUGAGUUCAGAUUCAACUGGUGUUGGACGUGAUGCCGAUGGAGUUGCGGUUUGAUCUGAAUUUCGCCUUGGGGACAGCGACACCGGGGUCAGAUCGUGGUUCACUUUGCGUGAAAUCUUUGUUGAAGCAUUUUCCAGUUGUGCGUUUCACAUCUUCAAGGUAUUCUGGGCCCAAACCAGCUUUGUUGGCACCUUAGAUAUGAAGCUUGUACCUCCUGCUCCAUUAUGUUUUGAUAUUUCUUAAUUUAACCUUUACUUAAUUAAUUAAUUCUUGAUUAAUUCCAUAAUUGUCAUUUCUUAGGUUAAUACAUAAUGGAUGUUAAUAUAAUUAGUUUUGAUCAAGUGAUUAAUUCAUUAAUUGUAAUUAGUGUAAUUAAUAGUUUUUGAUUAAUAUGAUUAAUAGAUUUUUGUGAUUGAUUACGAUUAAUCGGUUAAUUGUAAUCAUUAGAAGUUUUAGGUUUUAGUUAUUGGAACUUAGCCUAAUUUUCCAUCGUA